GCCGCUUCGAAAAUAUCCCAUUAUGUUCCCCAACCAAAUUUGACAGACUCUUUUAUGCGAUAGUUAGGCGAUGUUUUUUCGGUACAACUCUGAAUUAUUUUUUUAACAGUGAAAAUUAAAACAUUAUCUACUAUAACACAAACAAUGACGACGGGAAACAUUUGAAAACGAAAGGCCCCAAAGCUAUAUCGAUAAGAUGCGAACCGUCGGUGGAAAUCUGGUUCUUUUUUUUUCAGCAGCUGGCAAAAAUCUGUAGUUAUGAUAGUAGGUUUCGGUUGUGCGCCUGGCGUUGUGGUGUUCUUUUAAAAUGUUAUUGGAUUACCAUCCAUGGUGGAUGCUGGAAAACAAAAAUAAAUACUGAAAUAAAAACUAAAAUUUAUGAAA